rnacentral:rRNA from 1 species
ACGCUCGACACCUACGGGGGGCAGCAGUAGGGAAUCUUCCACAAUGGACGCAAGUCUGAUGGAGCAACGCCGCGUGAGUGAAGAAGGUUUUCGGAUCGUAAAGCUCUGUUGUUGGUGAAGAAGGAUAGAGGUAGUAACUGGCCUUUAUUUGACGGUAAUCAACCAGAAAGUCACGGCUAACUACGUGCUAGCAGCCGCGGUAAUCUGAGCGGGCUGGCAAGGC